rnacentral:lncRNA from 1 species
AAACAAAUAAAGUAUCAAACUCAAAUUUCCUAUGGCAAAACAUCUGGGUGCGGUAAAGGAUUUAAUGACUUUGCAUGACUCUGUGAGUUUAGUGCAUUUAGGAGAUUAAUGUAUAAUUAAGAUAACGUUAUUUAUUAAAAGAAAAAAAUUAAAGUAAAAUAGAAUAUAAAUUAUUAUCGAAAAAAUUUUAAAUUGUUAAAGAUAGAAUUUAAAUUUUUUUAUAUAAAUGAAAUCUCUCCGAGAUUAUAUAAAAUAAA